rnacentral:rRNA from 1 species
UACGGAGGAUGCGAGCGUUAUCCGGAUUUAUUGGGUUUAAAGGGUGCGUAGGCGGGCUGUUAAGUCAGCGGUCAAAUGUCGGGGCUCAACCCCGGCCUGCCGUUGAAACUGGCGGCCUCGAGUGGGCGAGAAGUAUGCGGAAUGCGUGGUGUAGCGGUGAAAUGCAUAGAUAUCACGCAGAACUCCGAUUGCGAAGGCAGCUCACUGGACUGCAACUGACACUGAGGCUCGAAAGUGUGGGUAUCAAACAGG